GACAUCAGGAGGUUAGUGCAAUGGCAUAAGCCAGCUUGACUGCGAGCGUGACGGCGCGAGCAGGUGCGAAAGCAGGUCAUAGUGAUCCGGUGGUUCUGAAUGGAAGGGCCAUCGCUCAACGGAUAAAAGGUACUCCGGGGAUAACAGGCUGAUACCGCCCAAGAGUUCAUAUCGACGGCGGUGUUUGGCACCUCGAUGUCGGCUCAUCACAUCCUGGGGCUGAAGUAGGUCCCAAGGGUAUGGCUGUUCGCCAUUUAAAGUGGUACGCGAGCUGGGUUUAGAACGUCGUGAGACAGUUCGGUCCCUAUCUGCCGUGGGCGCUGGAGAACUGAGGGGGGCUGCUCCUAGUACGAGAGGACCGGAGUGGACGCAUCACUGGUGUUCGGGUUGUCAUGCCAAUGGCACUGCCCGGUAGCUAAAUGCGGAAGAGAUAAGUGCUGAAAGCAUCUAAGCACGAAACUUGCCCCGAGAUGAGUUCUCCCUGAGACUUAAAGUCUCCUGAAGGAACGUUGAAGACGACGACGUUGAUAGGCCGGGUGUGUAAGCGCAGCGAUGCGUUGAGCUAACCGGUACUAAUGAACCGUGAGGC
rnacentral:rRNA from 1 species